ACCCGGGCACCCUGCGAGAAACUCGGCUCUGACGUAUUUCUGAACGAAAGUGCGGGUCCCAGGGCACUGCACGAGGCCACAGUAUCCACUGACUAGGACCUGAGUGCGCAUUAAAGUGCUGCUAGGUGUCACACUCCAACCUAUGCUCUGCAGAUGCAGGGGCUCUAAGACAGGUUCUUGCCUCAAGGUUACAAGAUCACAGGUAUCUUAUUUCUAUGGUUCCGUCCUUACUUCAUUCAACAAAUAUUUAAUGAGUGUCUGUUUUAAAAAGGCAUUCUGCAUGGAACUGGAGCUGCAGCAGUAAUCAAAGUACACAAAAUCCAGGCCAUUGGAAGCUUACGUUCUGAGGUAGAGAGGAAAUGAACAAAUAAAUAAACUGAUCGUGGUCAAGAGAUUGGAAAAUUAUUUUCCAGGAAAACCAUUGGUCCAAGAGAAAAGACCUACGGAUAAUGACUUGAAGAAAAAUCCUCCAACGAAUUAGCCAAGAUCUCAUUUUAUCACUCUGUAGGGAGGCUGUCAGCCCUCCACCAAUACUACGCUGUAGGACGGACGGACGGACGGACGGACUGACGCAUCAGUGAAUGAUCGACUGAGAACGCGCACGGAGGACCAGGAGAGAA